rnacentral:tRNA from 1 species
UCCCUGGUGGCUCAGACGGUAAAGUGUCUGUCUGCAAUGCGGAAGGCCCGGGUUCGAUUCCUGGGUCGGGAA